GAGUCCUCGGAGUCGGAUGAUGUUGAUGAUGUUGAUGUUGACGUUGAUAAUGUCGAGGAAGAUGAUGCAAAUGUCGAGGCAGACGAUGGUCCAGCAGCAAAUAUCCAAGCCUCACAUGUCCGUGCGGGUGAUGAACAUGUCAUCGAGUCCCAGAUCAUGCUUACCGCUGCAUCUAACACGACCACAGGCGGCUCAGGGGAUGGUAUGUGUAGCUAGUGUG
rnacentral:lncRNA from 1 species